AGGAGAUUUCUCAAGAUAAAUAUGACGUUCAUCAGUGACCAAAUAAACAAAUACUACUGUGCUGCUCCUUGGUUGUGGAGGCCAAUGCCCUGUUAAGCUGGUGUUUAGUCGAUUAUGGACUAGCGUGCCAUGCUCUGUCUAUUCGAGACAAGCCGCGGUUAUGGACCUCUCACUUCAGUGUCUGAUGGAAAUUAAGUCACCACUCACCACCCCUCCAACGAGACGGUAAUUCUGAAGGUGGCAAAAGAAUGAGAUAUUGGGGGUUGAUCCUUCCAGAGAUCUUUAUGAGUGAAAGACUUAUAAUGCAGGCAAAUUAUCAUUAUGAAUGCUCUAACUGUAUAGAGAUCAUUAUCUGGGCAAGCUAACUGAAAAGUAUGAAGCCAUCUUUGUUAUGCAGAGCCUUCCUACACUCCUGCAGAAAACUGUAAGAUUGAUAGUUAGCAACUACUGUACAUAAGUGCUCAGAAUACGUAAUUUCUAUUAUGUAGCAAAUCUACAUAUAUUCCAAUGCUCUGUCUAUCCGUAUAUUGCAUUGCACUUUAUGCUAUCACUUGCAAGCACCUGGGAGCUGGGGUGAAAUGUUACUCUUAAAGUAAAGGAUACUGUUGUGGAGCCCUGAAGCCAGUGCCAUGUCGUUUGAGCUCUAGAUGGCUUCUUAUCAUAAAUUAUCGGAUGUUCCAUGUGUAAUCAAGUUAAGGACUCCUUUGAUUCAAAGGAAAUUCACAGGGCUUCUCAACGAUUAGAAUCCGUAGGAAUUUUUCCUUUCCUAAGAAAUUGUUUGUGCAGGGACAAAUAGUUACCCC
rnacentral:lncRNA from 1 species